ACAGAGGUCCCAAGCGUUGUUCGGAUUCACUGGGCGUAAAGGGUGCGUAGGUGGCGAAGUAAGUCGGAUGUGAAAUCUCCGAGCUCAACUCGGAAACUGCAUUGGAAACUACUUUGCUUGAGGGUUGGAGGGGGGACUGGAAUACUUGGUGUAGCAGUGAAAUGCGUAGAUAUCAAGUGGAACACCAGUGGCGAAGGCGAGUCCCUGGACAACUCCUGACACUGAGGCACGAAAGCUAGGGGAGCAAACAG
rnacentral:rRNA from 1 species